rfam:Brassica napus, WGS project CCCW01000000 data, contig: 12365
UAACCAUGGUGGGGACAUUCAAGUUCGUAACUUUUGAAUCUCUCCCAUGCGUUUCUGAAUGAUUCCCGUGGAUCUUGGCGGAAUGUGGAAAUUUUCUUCCUUAUAUC